UUCCAUCCUGUUUGUCCUGUUUAGUUACAUGCAUUUUGUUUCUCGUCGAAAUAAAAAGACUUAAUUUUUCCCCAAACUAAGUGGCUGAGCUGCGUGCGACGGUACUACAAAAACUGACUGAAGAGUGCAUACAAACUGUGGAACAAAUUACACCAAUAUUGCAUCAAUUGUAAAAUUAUAAACCCAUGUUACAGCCUCCCAAGCCGCAAAAUCAUUUUACCAAGCAUUAACAGGUGAUAAGAAUCCACGAUCUCCAAGAUAUAUGGAUGAAUUAAAGUGGACUGGCUUUUAUCACUUAGAUAUAAGGUUCAAAGUUUCCAUUAAUAAUCUCACCAUCCUCUUAAACCUAGUGGAAUCAUUAAAAGAUGUUCUUUUAAAAACGUGCUUCUCAUAUGUGGAUGUGGUUUGAUUGGCAUUUUAGUUAUUCAGAUAUCAUUUGUGGGUACAAACUUGGAUUUUGUUCUUUACUAGGCAUUUGUCUAAAUCAUGUGGAGACUUAAGUCAGCAAUAUUAUUGUCAAAGUGCAGAAGCUUAUUUUAUAUUGGGUGGAUCUCUAAAUCAUCUAUUAUCUUUUCAUAAUUGUUGUUAUGCAGUAACUUCUUACAACACAUUACCAAGCUGUUGGAUUGGAUGCUUUUUCUUAGAAACCUUACAAGAUGUGUCUGUUACAUUUCCUAGCUAAUUCUCAAUCACAAAUCCUCUGCCCACCAUAUUUUAGGCUGAGAAGUGGUGCAUGUAUUCCAAGUUAAUGCCAGGUAGAAAGUGUUACCCGUUUGGUUAUCCUUUUGUGGGCCAAGAUCUUAGUGUACUCAGUUUAUUAUUUUAUAUUUUUGUACUUCAUCAUAUGAGAUGCUUUCUUCUGCUAUUCUCGGAUUUUUAUUUUUUUCUGUUUUUUCCGGAUUGUUGUAGACCAUGGUUUAAGUUAUGAAAAGCCCCUUGAAUUGAUUCU